UGAGGAAUAUUGGUCAAUGGGCGGAAGCCUGAACCAGCCAAGUAGCGUGAGGGAUGACUGCCCUAUGGGUUGUAAACCUCUUUUAUAAGGGAAUAAAAUACGGGACGUGUCCUGUUUUGCAUGUACCUUAUGAAUAAGGACCGGCUAAUUCCGUGCCAGCAGCCGCGGUAAUACGGAAGGUCCGGGCGUUAUCCGGAUUUAUUGGGUUUAAAGGGAGCGCAGGCGGUCUUAUAAGCGUGACGUGAAAUGCAGCGGCUCAACCGUAUGAUGUGCGUCGCGAACUGUGAGACUUGAGUGUAAACGAGGUAGGCGGAAUGUGAUGUGUAGCGGUGAAAUGCUUAGAUAUGUC
rnacentral:rRNA from 1 species